CCUACGGGCGGCUGCAGUCGAGAAUCAUUCACAAUGGGGGAAACCCUGAUGGUGCGACGCCGCGUGGGGGAAUGAAGGUCUUCGGAUUGUAAACCCCUGUCAUGUGGGAGCAAAUUAAAAAGAUAGUACCACAAGAGGAAGAGACGGCUAACUCUGUGCCAGCAGCCGCGGUAAUACAGAGGUCUCAAGCGUUGUUCGGAAUUACUGGGCGUAAAGCGUGCGUAGGCAGUUUCGUAAGUCUUGUGUGAAAGGCGCGGGCUCAACCCGCGGACGGCACAUGAUACUGCGAGACUAGAGUAAGGGAGGGGGAAGCGGAAGUCUUGGUGUAGCAGUGAAAUGCGUAGAUAUCGAGAGGAACACUCGUGGCGAAGGCGGGUUCCUGGACAUUAACUGACGCUGAGGCACGAAGGCCAGGGGAGCGAAAGGGAUUAGAUACCCUUGUAGUC
rnacentral:rRNA from 1 species